rnacentral:rRNA from 1 species
GCAGUGCACUCCUACGGGAGGCAGCAGUGGGGAAUAUUGCACAAUGGGCGCAAGCCUGAUGCAGCCAUGCCGCGUGUAUGAAGAAGGCCUUCGGGUUGUAAAGUACUUUCAGCAGUGAGGAAGGUGGGUAUGUUAAUAGCAUAUUCAUUUGACGUUAGCUGCAGAAGAAGCACCGGCUAACUCCGUGCCAGCAGCCGCGGUAAUACGGAGGGUGCGAGCGUUAAUCGGAAUUACUGGGCGUAAAGCGCAUGCAGGUGGUUUGUUAAGUCAGAUGUGAAAGCCCGGGGCUCAACCUCGGAAUUGCAUUUGAAACUGGCAAACUAGAGUACUGUAGAGGGGGUAGAAUUUCAGGUGUAGCGGUGAAAUGCGUAGAGAUCUGAAGGAAUACCGGUGGCGAAGGCGGCCCCCUGGACAGAUACUGACACUCAGAUGCGAAAGCGUGGGGAGCAAACAGGAUUAGAUACCCUGGUAG